AAUAAAGCCAAAUCCUUGCUCACGACACCAUUCACCAAGCCACAAAUUAAAGUCCCUAAUACACAUCCGCCUGUCGUUCUGAGUGUUAUGCACAGGCAGAACUUCAGAGAGUGACCGUGUGGAAUCAACCUGCCGUAUAUCACUGGCAAAAACACUAAAAACUUCCUUAACCUCUGAAACCUCACUGAAAGCCAAGUCAUUUGUCCCUAGAUGGACAAGUACAUCCAAUUCCCC